GGGUCGACUCAAUAAAGCUAAAAACUUCUUAUUUCUUCUUUGAAUUAUCUUGACUUAGCUUUCUUGAGGAUAAAUCCUUUAUUCAUCCUUAAAAUAUAUUAUUAGAAUCAUAAUUACUCAAAGUUUGGUAAUCAUCAAAAUCAAUCAUUGGAUUAACAAUCUCCUCUUUUUUGAUGAUGACAAAAUUUUGAGUAUAUGCAC
rnacentral:lncRNA from 1 species